AUCUACUACUUCUGACGGGGGUAAAAGCAAUGCGAAAGAUGAAUCAGUUGAAGAACCAACUGUAGUAGGUCUUGGGAGGAAAUUUGAACCAUUAAAGAAAAUUAAAAAGAAAACCGGCAUUGUUGGCAGUGCUUCUGAAAACAAAGAAUCGAGUACCGACAAAGUGCUUGCCUUAGGAACAAUAGAUUCAGAGAAAAUAAAAGAAGCUGAAUCAAACAA
rnacentral:misc_RNA from 1 species